CCCUCUGAAACAAACACGUCGAAGACCCAAUCCCGUCUAUAUAUAUUCACCUUCCUCCCUCGCAAAAUUUACUACAAUCUUCUUCAAAUCGAUACUCAAAAAAUCUCAAUCAAGCCACCUCACUGUCAGCCACAGGGAACAUCGGAUCCAGGAGAUCAUCAAUCUCCUCUCUCGGUGACGAGCUACAAAGUGAGAUUCAGGAAAUAAUGUUGUGAGGUGAGGAUGAUGAAUACAAGCAGGCAAGCCAGGAUUAAAAGGAGCAGUUAAUUUCAGUUUCAGACUUUCUAAAAUAAAGUUGCUUUUAUGACAUGAAUUUAU